rnacentral:rRNA from 1 species
CCUACGGGCGGCUGCAGUGAGGAAUAUUGGUCAAUGGUCGUGAGACUGAACCAGCCAAGUCGCGUGCGGGAUGACGGCCCUAUGGAUUGUAAACUUCUUUUGUCGGGGAGUAAAAGACGCCACGCGUGGCGUUUUGUAAGUACCCCAAGAAAAAGCAUCGGCUAACUCCGUGCCAGCAGCCGCGGUAAUACGGAAGAUGCGAGCGUUAUCCGGAUUUAUUGGGUUUAAAGGGUGCGGAGGCCGCAAGUUAAGUGAGGCGGUAAAUUGGGGAGCUCAAACAUGUCAGAGCGGUGCAAACUGGUUUGCUUGAGUGAGCGAGAAGUAUGCGGAAUGCGUGGUGUAGCGGUGAAAUGCAUAGAUAUCACGAAGAACUCCGAUUGCGAAGGCAGCAUACGGGCGCGCAACUGACGCUCAUGCACGAAGGUGUGGGUAUCGAACAGGAUUAGAUACCCUAGUAGUC